rnacentral:lncRNA from 1 species
UGGAAACCAAAACUGAACUCUCAUAUCGACACUGCAGACUGACGUUUGCAGUUAGCCUUUUGAACUUGUCAGCACCACUGUGGAUUAUUAAGGAUGAUACACGAUGCCCAAAAUAAGGUCAUUACUUUGGGUUCUUACUUGGCCAUAAACUGCUGCUUUAUUAUUUGAUACAUUUCUCCUUCUUCAACCUGUAGUCUCUUUUUGACUUUCAAUCAUAAACAUAACUUGUACACUAUGUUGCCAAAAGUAUUCACUCACCAAUCCAAAUCACCAAAUUUGGGUGUUCCAAUCACUUCCAUGGUUUCCUGGGCAUUCAGAAGGCUCAUCGUUCUUGUAUUGUCAUACAUACAUUCUCAAAUACAUUUAUAGUCACUCAUACACACACACUUACACAUGUAUUGUUAUCCUUUGCUCCUUACAAAGAUGUAUUUUGACAGUUUGACAGUUCCCCCUUAAGCAGGAAGCCAAUCUGAAAUCAGGAAGCAUCGUAUAUUUGAAAAACUUAUUUGACUAAACCAGACCUGACCAGAAAACCUAAGCAAUGAAGCUACUCAGUCAUCCAGUUUUCCUUACUAGAAUUGUUUUUAAUUUGGGGAGUACGUAGCAAUGAAAAUGACAGCUUUGUUUUUAAUAACGGUUUGAACCAAUUUAAACUGAGAACAUGGAUUCUUUGUUUUUCAGAGGUCUGUAAAGAACUUGGUGAUCACAUUCAAACCUUUUCUGGAUUUUCAAGAUUUGUUGAAGAUGAAACUGCCGUGGUCCGGUACCUCUCGGACCGUUCACUCAUCUGUGCAGUGUGUCACCUGUCCAUCGCUGGUCCCUCCAUCAUUCAGAUUACCUGUUUCACCUGCCUUCCCUCCUGCCGUUGCCUCUGGUCGUGGAACACCCUGGAACUCUGGAUCAUAGCCAUACGAACACUCACCCAGAGCCCACUGGCAAUUUCCCCCCACGCUUUCUCCGACCUCACAAGUAAGGCCUGUCUUCUCAGUUUCAGACCCUCUGACCCCAGCACCUCGUAUCAUCUGCCUACACUGUACAUCUCUGAUCAUCACUAGUAUCACGUAUCGCUACGUUUCAAAGUUUCAUAUUUUUGUGUGCCUGCACUUUGACUCCAGCCUGUUGUACUGGCUACUCAGCCUUAUGGGCAGAGCUAAAUUGAGUGCAUAGAUUUGCCACAAAUUCAAAAAGCUGCCAAAGAAUUUCAGAACCAGUGGAAUAAGCAUACACUUUCAACACAAGUAGGGCAAACUGUCAUGGUCCUGAGUCCGUGACUCAGUGAUUUUGUGUUUAGUGUAUUUAUUGUUGUUGUUAUUAUUAUUAUUUGUGGGCUGUUUUGGGAUGAUUUGUGUUUUGGGGUUUUGGAUACUGGAUUUCUGGGUUUGUGCUCCCUCUGUUGGUCCCUGGUGUUAGUGUUCCCCUGUCUCGUCAGGUUAAUCAGGUCCAGCUGUGUCUCCCACCUGUGUGUGAUUUCCCAGUGUCCCUCUGUGUAUUUAUAGUGUGUGUCUGCCUGUGUUCCUCGUUGCGUCGUCUGUAUUCAUCCUCUGUAUUAAUUCCCUGUGUUCUCUACAUUACUCCGUGAAUCCUCUGCGUGCUCUCCCUGCUGUCCUCCCUUCGUGUUCAGGUUUGCUAUUCUAUGGUUUAGUUUCUCCCAGUUUAGUUUAUCCUUAGUUCUGUUUUGCCAUCCCCACUUUGUGUUCUGUAUUCUUAAUAAACCACCCUCACAUCUUAGUAAGUGCUGCAUUUGAGUCCUCCUUUCCACACAUCACACGGCUGCUGCCCCAGUCGUGACACAAACUCCCUUUCACAUGUGGCAAAAGGGGUGUAGUCAACGAUGCAGGCAUACAUAGCCCCAGUAUGAAUGGUAUUUGUGAAAGUAACUUUGGUAUUGAUGAAUACAGAACACCGUCAGGUAGCAACAAUAAUGUUAUUCCAUCAAUUAACAUUUCCCUCAGUGUUCACAGUGAGGUUACACUUCAAGUGAAUGCCAGUCACAGUAUAGAGAUAUUAUGCAAACUUGUUAAUUUACUUGAGAGAAAAUCCUAAAAUGUACAUAUUAAUAAAAGAGACACACCUCCAUAAGUACAAACCAUCCAUAUAAAACACUUAUUUUACUGUAGCUGUGCAAAUCAAAGAGAAGAGAGUAUAAAUUCUGUCACAGUUUAAAACUCAAAGUUUGAGGUAUCUUUCAUUUGAUGCGUGUUGUCCGUUUUGAUAUAAUUUUAAGACAUUUAUCAGUGUAAUUACGUGAGCUCAAACCUUUUUAAAAUAUAGUGAUGAAUGAAACAAAGAAUGUGUUUAUUUUUAGUUUUUUGU